rnacentral:rRNA from 1 species
UGAGCAAUCUGCCCUUCUCUUUGGAAUAAGCGUUGGAAACGACGUCUAAUGCCGAAUACGACCUCCUUUCGCAUGAUCGGAGGUGGAAAGCUCCGGCGGAGAAGGAUGAGCUCGCGGCCUAUCAGCUAGUUGGUGUGGGUAAUGGCCCACCAAGGCGACGACGGGUAGCUGGUCUGAGAGGAUGGCCAGCCACACGUGGGACUGAGACACGGCCCAGACCUCGUACGGGA